rnacentral:RNase_P_RNA from 1 species
AGAGCAAGCCAAGAUGGUUGCCUCUGCCGUUUAUGCGGGAGGGGAGGAAAGUCCGAGCUCCAAAGGAUGAUGUAUCCAGGUAAUGCUGGACACUUUGCUGAUUCACUUUAAUGGGUGGAGCAGUAGGGGAGGAUUAGAGCUACAGUGACGAUACUCCGGUUUGUUAACGUGAGCCAGAGGGUGAAACGAGCAAUCUCUGCAUGGAGCAAGGCCAAAUAGGAAGAGAUCUUCAGACCUCAGGGACUGGAAACGAGGCGAUCCGCCUCGUCAUUAUCUUCGGGUAGGCCGCAAGAGUUUGGGGAUUGAUUCCCGAAGUGAGUGAAAUAACCGUCCAUCUCGCCCAUAAAAAAUCGAGACGCACAAAACUCGGCUUAUUGGUUUGCUCUUAAA